GACGAACGCUGGCGGCGUGCUUAACACAUGCAAGUCGAACGGAAAGGCGCGGCUUUUGUGGGGUGCUCGAGUGGCGAGCGGGGGAGUAACACGUGAGUAAACUGCCCUUGACUUUGGGGUAACAUCAGGAAACUGGGGCUAAUACCGGAUAGGAGCUCCUGCUGCAUGGGGGGGGUUGGAAAGUUUCGGCGGUUGGGGAUGUACUCGAGGCUUAUGCGCUGGUUGGUGGGGUAGUGGCGGCCCAGGGCUAUGACGGGAAGGCGGCCUGAGAGGGUGACCGGCCACCAUGGGCCUGCGAUACGGCCCAGAAUCCUACGGGCGGCAGCAGUGGGGAAUAUUGCACAAUGGGCCGAAGCCUGAUGCAGCAAUGCCCCGUGCGGGAUGACGGCCUUCGGGUUGUAAACAGAUUUCGACGGUGCCGAAGACUGAGUGACGGUAAUGGGUAAAGAAGCCCCGGCUAACUACGUG
rnacentral:rRNA from 1 species